rnacentral:rRNA from 1 species
UUGGAGGGCAAGUCUGGUGCCAGCAGCCGCGGUAAUUCCAGCUCCAAUAGCGUAUAUUAAAGUUGUUGCAGUUAAAAAGCUCGUAGUUGAAUUUCGGGAUCAAUAUGUCGGUCGUGCUUUUGGUACGUACUGGCAUCAUUGGUUUCUCCCUUCUGACAAACCAUGAUGUCAUUAAUUUGGUGUUAUGGGGAGUUAGGACUGUUACUUUGAAAAAAUUAGAGUGUUUAAAGCAGGCAUUAGCUUGAAUACAUUAGCAUGGAAUAAUGAAAUAGGACGUUUGACCCUAUUUUGUUGGUUUCUAGGAUCGACGUAAUGAUUAAUAGGGAUAGUUGGGGGCAUUAGCAUUCAAUUGUCAGAGGUGAAAUUCUUGGAUUUAUUGAAGACUAACUACUGCGAAAGCAUUUGCCAAGGAUGUUUUCAUUAAUCAAGAACGAAAGUUAGGGGAUCGAAGACGAUCAGAUACCGUCGUAGUCUUAACCAUAAACUAUGCCGACUAGGGAUCGGAUGAUGUUAAUUUUUUAAUGACUCAUUCGGCGCCUUACGGGAAAC